rnacentral:tRNA from 1 species
GAGUUGUUGCCCGAGCGGUUAAUGGGGACGGAUUGUAAAUCCGUUAGUUAUACUUUCGCUGGUUCGAAUCCAGCACAACUCA